UCAGGGAUUGCAGACCUUCAGUCGUUCACUAUCUUAAGUUAAUCAUAUACAAUGAUUUUGCCUCACUGGGGCCUGGGAGAAUAUGCCAGUUCUGCUCAUCAGCAACAGCAGCAAAAUGCCUGGACAAAGGCAGUGCAAUGAUGUGCUUUGCUUAAGGCUGGAGCCAUGCACCAUGAAGUGAAAAAAGGCAAAGCAAGAGUUUGGUCACAGUGCCACUUAGCAAGAGUUCAGCGGAAGCUGUGAGAAAUGCAUUCGCUAGUGUAUGUAUACGGGGAGGCCUGUAACGCUAACUCGGGCUGGAGAUUCAUCUGCAUUUCUGGUCUGAGGGGAUGGGGCACGCAGCCCAGGUCCAAGCAGGCCAGGAGCAAGAGAUGCUAGAGACUACCAAAGCCAUGAGAAGAACCACCUGUAUCAGGAGAGACCAAAAAAAGUGACAGCUUCAUGCCAUGGGUCCUCUGUGGCAACUCUUUGAGACUGAGCAACUUUACCCACUUCUGCCUGUGAAAACACACUGUUGGGGCUACCGGGGCGAGCUUUGCCCUGGGGUCCCCACCAUAAUGAUCAAAGGGGGACAGGGACUAGUGCAGGCGGAGGGCAGCAUGGUGCUCCCUGCUGCAGGAUCCAGCCCUCCCCAGCCAGCCUGCAUUCAUAUUCCACCUGACUCUGCUGGGAGAAAUCCAUGGGGACCCCAACAGCAAUUACUUGUGUGAUUUAAUUGGCAUUAUCAUUUUACUGGCUUGACAGAGAUAAAUCGCCCUGUUGGGUAAGGCUGCUACUGUGACAGGAAAAGCAGAAGGAAAGACUUCCUCCUCCUCUCUGAAAUAGGAGAUGACUACCAGUGUAUCUUAAUAAUUAGUGCUGUUAUAAUUAAUCGGACUAUUUGAGAGCCAAUCUAACAAACAAAUGGAGGGCUUGAUUGUUCGGUAAUUGACAAUUUGUUUCUAAUAUGUUAUCUUGCUUCUGCUUGUGUGAAGAAAUUUAAAAAAAACCCAAAACUGAGAUUACCGGAGGGCUGGGCCUUGGCCGCAGCGAGGACAAGUGACUGCGUGAGAGAGCAAGGAGGAAAGGAGCGUUCCCAGACACUGGAUGUCCCAGGGACCCAUUUGCCGUGAACACACAUGCACACACGAGUUGUGACUCCCGUUUCCCUGCUUUUCAAACAGUCGCAGCCAGCUGUCAUCACCUGUGUGGGCAGUUUUACAGGAAAGUGGAGUUUUCAGUCUGUGGCCUUUCCAUAUCAUUUGCACCCUGGUUAUAUUCCUGGAUCUGCUCUCUCAGUGGCUGUACCUCUUUCCUCACCUUGCCUGUCUCUCCCCUUUCUCUCAUACUUACCCGCUGAUCUACAGUGCAGCUGUCGGGUGCUCUGAACCCAGCAAUCUGUUGCUUGUCGAUGCUUGGGAUGGGAGCACAAUGCAUGGCCAUGGCAAAGGGUCUGUAGUGGUACUGGGCACCGCAGCACUGGGAUGAUUCUGUCCAGAUGCAGAAUAGGCUGUGCGCAAUGCUGUGCUUAGGUGCAAUAUACCCAUUCCUGCCUCCAAGAAACGCACAGCAAAAGCAGCCAGAAGGUGGGCAAAAUAAUUUUUUUUAAUUUCCGUUAUUUAAAGGAGGGAAGCAAGAUACAGAUAUUUUGCUGGUAAAAUCUACGUAUGAUGUUAUCAGGCUUUGAAAAACAGUUAAGAGUCUGCUCUUCUGCGGGAGAUUCCCUCUUGCUAUCUGGAUGAGGGCUUUUUUUUCUUUUUUUCACAUAAAGCCAAAUAUCUCCAAGUCCUCAAUGCAUCGGUGCUCCCAUGGCACGUGCUUAACUCCCACGGGCUUCUGAACUACUGUCAGCGCUGAUCUGGAGAGGGCUUCGUAUCACAUUAAAAGGGUAGUAAUAAUCACGGCUGAGGCAACACUGCAGGGAACCCCAAACUGUCACGGUUCCCUAGAAUUGGCCUCAGCCAUCAAAUGUGCAUGGAUGGAUAUCUAUACAGCCUGGGGAAAAUAAUUUUGGGGCUGGCUUUUGCUCCCAACACAAUUCCUUCCUGUUGCAGUAGAAUUGCUGCCUAUUCAAAGAGGCUGUGAACAGCUCUGCGAGGUGGCAACACUUCUCCCCCCACCCAGUUUAAAUGAGAUAUGAAUAAUUGAUUUGCCUCCUGAAUAAUUAAUUGGAUAUUCAAUAAUGAAAGUAAUUGUUUGGCUCAUUCCCCCAUUGAUAAUCAAGCUAAUCUUCUCCUUCAAUAUGUGGGCCAUACGGCUAUGUAAAGCAGUGAGACAGUUUAUAGGCCGAUAAUACAACUAAUGUGCUUGGUGCGAGGUCACCUUGUCCAAAUACCUCAGCAGCUCCCAGGGCCGCUCUCUGCUGGGUUAUCUACUGCACAGCCAAGCUGUGUGCAGCAAGGCUUUGGCUUUUUUUCCUCCUUAUUUUGAUUGCUGAACAUCUCCCACCAGGGAGGAGUCGUCUUUUACAGUUUAAACAAAAAUCGUCAGAUGCCACUUGCUCCAAUUAAGGCUUGCAAGGGAGGUUUGUUCUUCCUCUAGUCAAUAGUAUGCAGAUUAAAGAAAGCAAGAGGCUCUCUGAAUUCACAGGGCUGCUCCCUUCUAGAGGCAUUAGAGCUCAACUCCACAGAGAGGCUCCAGAGCUAGAGCUUUCCUUUGCCACUAGCCCUUUAGAAAUCAAAAUCAAACCUAAACACAUUAAUGUUGGUUUUGCAGCUGCUGCAUUUGGUUUUUUGAUCUUCUAAUGUAGCAAGUCUCAUGAAGCCUAGGAGACUGAACUAACAUCUUCGUGGCGUGAAGCAGACACGCUCUCUGGAGAGGAGCUCAGCAUUGGCAGUGCAGUUCGAGUGGACGGCACAGUCCCAGGUUAUCUCAGAGGCACUCAGAGGUUGCUCCCGUGCAGUGGGUUUACCAGCAUGGGCAGAGUUACUGUACCACUGCUGCGAGGGACAUCUGGGGUUGAACCACAAUGUAACACCCCAAAAUCAAGUAACGUGAACAGAGAUCCAUAUUGGUGGGUCCUAAGCCACGUAUUGGAGGGUUUUAACACUUGCACUUACAAACUGUAACACCAAAAAACCUUGCCUGCAUCCCCCGUGUCCCACCAAGCCUGUGAUUCUUGUCUAUUCCUAUGGGGUCUGGGCAGGGCAUAGGGUCCUGGCAAAUAAUGCAAACCACAAAAUGUGGAAGACACAGGUGAUGCACGGCCCAUCCCAGAGCCCAGAGGUGCUGGUGCUAAUGGGUUUAUCCUCUGCUCCUGUUGAAGAAUGUUCCCUGGCAGAAAGAGCAUUCAGGAAGCUCUGCUGUGAGUUACGAGUUUCAUCUUGGCCUGGUUUAUAAUGAAAUUAAAGGCUGAGAGAAUCCUGUCCCCACCAGGUUGUGUGUUUGAAGAGCGGUUGCACUAAUGAUAGAGCUUAUCAACAUCGCUCUUGGCAGAUAAGCAGAAAAAGCAUCUUAAGAUGCCGUGUCAGACAGGUGAGGACUGGGACAGUCCAGAGUGGGGGGAGAAGCAGUUGGGCUGCUCUUGCUCUAGAGCUACCUCCUGAGCAACCAAGCUCACACCUUUUUUGGGCUCUGCUGACUGGUCUGUGCCCAGCAGAAACACAGCUCUCAAGUGGUCUCAAACUGCCCUGAGUUUCUGCUGAGUUUUCUGUAGCUGCUCUGAAUGGAAGUUUCCUAUGAGAGGCAUUUGAAAUAGCUUUACUGGCUUAUUUUAGGACAUGAUUAGGAACUUUCAAGCAUCUUUGAUUCCAUCCUGAGUCCAUGCGCCGAAGGCAGAGUUCAACUGGGUGGGCACUCCCAGCAAAGACUCUUUCUGGAGACAGGAGGUUUAAUCCAUUGUACAAAACCACGCUUUCUGAGGUCUCACUGAGCAAGGCAGUUCCUGAGGUGUCUGCCUGGAGGACAGGAGAUGAAGAUGAGGUUUGAGAAUACCAAAGCAGUGAGCUCUGGCACUUCAUGUUUUGCCAUUAGCCUCAAACCUCCGAGGCGAUGAGUAGCCCCUGAGUCAGAGAGAGCUACACGUGUCUGGUACAUCCCGACACUUUGAGGCUUCAGCCUCCAGGUCCCUUCUCCUCCUGGCAGCAGCAGUGAAUGAAAACCAGGAGAUUGCUGUACUAUUGUAAAUGUGCAUGUGGGAACCGUUUAAAACAAGAAAGUAAAGCAGCAGAAUGUUCCUGAAGAAGGACGUGUUUGAGAUGACAGUGCAAUCUGGGAAACCCUCCACUGCAACAGCUUCUUGAAUUUAGGUGCCUUUCAUUUUAACCAGUUUAAUUUCUUUAUGAGGGCUUUCAUCUGAAGAAGUGGCAGCACCGACAGGUCUCGCCAAGAUUCGUCUUCAGCCAAUUUACUCUGCAACAGAUUUAUCAUUUCAUCAGUAAUUUAAACAGAGACACUUGAUCAAGCAUUCAUUUUUAUUGCUCAGCGCUGCUUGGUUGUGUGUUACUUGUGAAAAGGGUGCGAUCGGAUCACUGGGGAAAGGGCAAUGCCACGAGUUUUCCUGAGAAAACUCUGCAAGGAUGACUCUGCCCGUGGAGAUGGGAAAAUGACGGGAGCCCAUCACCUGGGUAAAGACGAUAAAACCCAACUUCAUUUAAAGCUUUUUCCCAUCACGGGCUAAUUUGGUGUGAAGAUGGCAGCAUCACCCUUCCCUUCCUUCCCUUCUCCAGGCUGUUAAGGGGUUUGUGACGGGUUCCCAAGACCAAAGCUCCCUCCGUGGUUUAAUUGAUGUGCAGCUGCUGCCUGAGAGGGGAGGGAGGCAGGGGCUCCGGGCAGGGAAGGGGAGCCCAAGGGGAUACUCUGCAGCCCCACAGGAAGAAAUACUGCAGAAAGCCACCCGCCUCUGCCUGGCAAUAGUGCUGUUAUUUAUGCACACACAUAAACGGCUUCAUGCAUCCCACUGAAAUCUCUGUUAUUUGUCAAUGAGUUCCCCCCUCCUGCUCUGACUUAGCUAACAUUUACAGUAAAUCUGUUACACUGACCAUUAAAUCUGAAGCUGCCCUGAGCGAUAGUUUCAAUGGGUGUGUUGACAGCCCGAGUGUUAAUAAUGAUGCAAACACUAACCUGUUUAUUGAUUUGCUUUUUGUACCCUUCAUCCUAGCUCACUCCUUCUCACUCUCGGAGGAGAAAUCCUAGAAUUAGUAAUCAGGUGACAGCUCAGAGCCCCUGUCUGUUCCCAGCAGUGUCAUCCAGCCCAAACUCCCAGAGAUAAAUUACAGGUGCCGUAUUCUGCCUCUGCCAGCCAUUCAAUAUACUGUUACUCGAUGCAAGAUGUAGUAUUUGUCAUUGGUGCCAGCAGACAGGAGGGAAAAAAAAAAAAGAAACAUUAACACAGACAUGAAAAGCUUUUAACUUUGACAAGGGAAGCAUAGGAAAGUUUUAAAUUUAGCCCUUCCACUGAAGGCCACCACCUAUCCAUUAAAGCAGCUUGUUAGACAGCAGGCAGGGUGGAACGGAGCUGGGACCAGGAUGCUUGGAAGAAACCCUAUGUGAUCACAGUGCUUCUUACUCCUCCUGCCAGGUGGAUGCUUGCCUAUAACAACGCUCAGGAGCACGAAAUUGGUGAAGGGCUUGUUGGGUUCCUGUGAACAAAUCAGCCUAUUCAUGUGCCCAAAUUCCUUGAAGUUGAGAUGGAGAUCUGUAGAGGGGGUGCAAAACAGCAGUUUUGAUUCACACUGCAGGGGGAAGGAAGCCAGCCUGGGCAGUGGGGAACACAAGAGGAGUGGGAGCACAACGCUGAGUGCUGGUCCUGCUCGUCCCCUGCUGAGGAGCAGCUCAACUGACUUAUAUGCUUCUAAAAUAUUGACCCCAAAGAUGACCCUGUCUGAGCUAACUGGCAGCGUUCCCCAGAUUGCAAAGUGCAAAGAGCGGUGCAAAUAGACCCUGAACAGGAGCCAGAAGCUAACUUCUCCAGGGCAUCCGUCCUGCAGCAAGGCAGGAGCUGCAGAUGCUUUCCCCAUGACAGACUCCGUGCGACAUUCAGCACUAGACACCACAGCUUUACCCAUGAGCUACACAGCCUUGUGUAAGAAGAAGUUGGAGUUAAAUGAAAGCUAGGCUUCAUGUUCCCCAUCUAGCAAUGCUUUUUGACCUAUGGUUUUUAUGGUCAGGAAAGAAACCUGCCAGUAAAUAAGCAGAAUUUAUAAACCCUGCAAGGGCUCUGAUAUACUCCCCAGGAGCUGGGGCCCCAAAGGCUUUCAGUGGCAUUUAUAAGCCUCACUCAGUUGUCAGACUCCUUAGUUCCUUUUAUUUCUGCUAAGUUUAUAAGCUCUGAAAAAGCGGUCUGCAGCAUUUAUUAACUGCACCGCAAAGCUGAAGCAAAGCAGCUGAUCCAAAAGAAACACAAUUCUACCUGUACCGCUUAAAUGUGGUUCAAAUCAAAGCCCUAUGUUCUGUUUAUUUUAUCCUGCCUUCUAAUAUGCACACAUCACCAAACAGAUAGACGUGUGUUAUUUUAGAAAAUAAAAUUACACCCAUGUUAAAAAUCCUGGUAAGUCCCUUAGUUCACUAGGAAGAAACUGAACUGAACAUUCAACAAAGCACUAAAGGUGGGAGUUUGUCAAGUCCCAAAUACUAGUAUCUAUGUGAACAUGUAAUUGUGUCCAUAAGGAGAAAAUAAAAUCCAACAAGGUGACUGAAAAUAAAAUAUGCUUUUAAAAAUUGUAUCAUGCAUGUUUCAAUGUGACUAUUAUGUUUUAAAUAGGGUCCUUCAGCUCUGUGAAACACAAAGUAUUGGAACCCAGGGCCAGCAGUUCGGUGAAGAAGUGUUCAGUAGUUUAGUUGUCACAGGGAAGUAGCCUCAGGACAGCAAGAUCAGCCACUGGUUUUGACAUAUAUAAAAUAACUGUGCUCAAAUUAUAAAUCCCAGGGUAUUUUAGUCUACCUGAUAUGUCUGCAGUGAUGCUGAGGAAAACAGAGCUGUUUCCGCAAUGGAAUGGACAUAUAGAUUCACUCCAUUUAUUGGAGUGUGACAAAAGGAUUCCUCCCCCUCACCCCCAUUUUAAGAAACAUAACAGGUGAAACUCUGCCGACAAGAUUAAGCAAAGUUUUAGCAUUAAGGAUCCCCAUCCAAGAUUACAGGACUUUUUUUUUUUUUUUAUUUCUGACAUUUUUUUUUUCCUUUCCUUUUUACUUUUCCUCCUAAUAGGACAAUCUGCUAAAUUUUGUGUCCUUCAUCACUUCUCCAAAACAGUGGAGCAGAUCAUAUUGGUGAGGGCUGGGCAGUUGUGAGGAUGAUUUAACAUUUGAAGUUUAAUUAAACAUGCAGAUGUGCUUGGACCUCAACUUUUCAACAUGGGUGAGAGCUAAAGCCCAUGACUUGACUGACCUGUGUUUUCCUCUGUAGGAGCUGCUUAGAGUUCUCAGGUUGGUACCAAGAAGUAUGUGAAUUUAGCAGAACAAAGGCAAAGGAAGAAGAAACUGUCCAAAAGCUGGGGAUUGUGUGUGCUGGGAGGAAUGAUGAAAUAACAAGGGUAUUUGUAACAGAAUUACUAGAAGCGGGAAAAGCACAGAAAUAAAAGCAAAGCCCAAGAGGAACAGAAAGCACAUGAAAUUAGUGGAAAGGAGAACAAAGCCUCAUCCUGUGAGACACAGGAGGAGGCCAAUCUUAAAUAAUUAUAGUAACAGUUUAACUUUAAAAUCAGGAUGUAUAUUUGUCGUGGUUCCUCUGACAGUGCAAGCAUCUCCUCCUCCCUUUCUUUGCACAGAUUUCCCCAGACAAUUCACAGUCCUUCCCUUCCUUUAUUUAUGUGGCUUCAUAUUUCACAGCUUUUGUUUACUGUAUUCCCAUUGUGAUUUAUGACCAAAGAGAAACAUUGCAUCCAGGUGAUGAUCCAGUCCAUUAUCUCUACCGAGAUGCUGACCACUGUCGGGGAGCACAGAGACCUGUUGUACCACAUGAUGGAGAACAAGCAGAAAAAGGGGCUUCCAGGUUAUGAAGGAAAAGCACAAUUCUUCUGAUUUGUACAGUUGGAUGCAAAGAAGAAAAUAUCCUUUCUCCUGUUAUUCCUCUCCCCAAAUGGGCUUUGAUAUUAAAAAAAUGUGUCUCAGGAGACCAAAUAUAUUCAAUGUGCUAACACACAGCUGCCUUAGCUAACAUGAUCCAUUUCAAAUCCAUGCUGCAACAGGGUAAAUCUCCCUGUCUAGAUAGCACCCUUGGCUAGUCCGGAAUACUCUAAUUGUUCCUUCCAGUUUUCCGCUUUGCCAUUAAUAAAUCAAGAUUUCUUUGCCCUGUUCUGCACGUUUACAUCCUUUGCAGAUUGUUAAUACCAAGACAGGGCUGUUAAUCUCUUGGUCUCAGGGUGCAUCACCCCACUUGCAGACAGAGAGGCUGGGGCACAGAUGGGACGGCGCCUGUGGCCGCAGAGCAGGGGGUGCACCCCCGGGCCACAUUAAUUCCCAGAAAUGUCCCCAUGGGACCUGGUCUGGCCAUCCUGCACUGGCAGCAGCCACUGUAUCUGGGGGUAGACCCUGGGACAAACCUCAAUGCGAGGCGUCCCUCUGCUGUGAGCCCCGUGCUCAGCUCUGUAGCACUGUUGCUGCCUGUGCCCUGCUUCAGCAGUAGCUUUGCAAAGGAGUAUCUCUUUCUCUGAUAUUAUUGAGGUCUUAUUCCCAUUGCCUGGAUUUCUUAUCCAAUUCAGCCCUUCUAUCCCUAGCGGUAUGUAGAAAAGACUAAUGCCCUUGCUUUGUUUUCAGGUCUCUUCCCAUCACAGAAGGGCAGGAACAAAGCUUGGCAAUGAAAGGCAAUUUCUCCUAACCCGGUGGGCGAGCGCAGCGUGAGCAUCUGAUGAAGACAAUAAAUUUGUCAAGGAGAUAAAUUGGACUAAAUAAUCCCCGAGGUCUGCACAAAGGACAGCGUCGCAGCGUAUUCGCACCGGUCGGGUCCCCUUCUUCCCAUGAUAUGCCUUGAAAUUUAUCACCCGCUUGUGAGCUUUAACUGCGUAAAUCCCCAGUGAAUUGAUGGGAGAAGAGAACCUUGCUGAGGUUUAUAUGGUGGGUCUUAAACCCUUAAAAGCUGGCGGCAGCGCGCAUUCCCCAUAAAGCCGUGCCUUUGGUAAUUUACACACAGGGAGCUCUGCCACGUUUCCUCUGUGGAAAAUUGGGUUGAAAUAAGUGGGAGCUCAGAGCUGAGCAGUGGCACCUGAGAAUGCCGACAGUGUGCCGUGAUUUCUGUGGAGUAUACAGCCAUUUCCACUUGAUUAAAUAAACUUGAUUCUUGGAAGAUCUGAAAAGUGGCUUUUAGAGAGUUCUUUCUAAAAGCUUGCAAGUUUUUCCAUUACUUCUGAAGAGAAAUUUACAGUCAGAAAAUUAAAGGAUCCACAAAGCGAUAUUUUCUGAAGCAAAUACUGACAUUAUGAGCGUCUUAAGCACUUGCGCUGCAUCUGUGCUAAACUGCAUCUCCUGAGUGACAAAGCCGCCUCCUGCUAAAAGCAACUGUUAUAAAAUUAUGACUAGCGCAUAUAUAAUGUUUGUGUUUAACAAGACGACAGAAAUGCCACCUUAGUAAAAACUGAUUAUGGUUACAGCUGAACAAUUCACAUCAUGCAAGAUUUAUAAUAUUAAGGUUAUGCAAUCAUCUAAUCGGAGAGACAAGCCUUGAGUAAUAAUAUGAAAUGCAUGUACUUCAAUCUGCAACAGUAGAUUCAUUGCUGUUUCCUUAUUAGCUCAUGCUAGCAUUAGGGCUGCAUUAUCCAUUUUGCCAUAGUCUAAUUCAGCAUUUCCAUCUGAAAACAUAUGCACAAUAAGUGAUCUAUGCCAAACAAUGAAAUGGAGACAAAGCCAUUUGAGUGACUUCACGGCUAUAAAAAUAUACAUAAUCUGUAUGUCUUUCGGCAAUUCUCAAUACUUUAAUACUACAUUUCUCUGCAUGAAAAGUUUUCCCCAAAUAAAGAAAAAGAUAGAAAUUGCACCUUUUUUUUUUCUCUGGAGAACAAUAUUAUGGUGGCUGUACCAGAGCAGGAAUCCAGCCCGUGAAUUUCUCAUCCUGCAGGUGGGACAUCAGAUCAUCUUAUCAGUGCUGUACCAACUGCCUGGGAAGUGCCAGGUGUAACUUAGGAUAGCAGAGGAUGACUUGAAACUUGUAUCUUCCAGCCCAGAUGAAAUUGUUGAUAUUUAAACUGAAAAGGAAUCUCUGUUGUUUCUUAAAAGCGAAACAUUUCAGAUAUUUUAUAAAGGUCAGAAAUGAUAAUCUAACCAAAAUUAUCAGUACAUAUAUGUGUAGCAAUAUAUAUGUAUAUAAAAACUCUAAUUGGUUAAUUAUUGUACAGAGAAGUCAUAGCGCACUCCAGGUUGAAAAUAUGCUAUUUCGAAGGGCUGGUGAGUUCAGACAUCGUAUUUCAAAGGCACAUAUUAUAAAAGUUGACAAGUGUUUAUAAAGCAAUAAUCAAACUAAUUGACUGAGAUCUCUGAUUAAAAUGAGACUUUUCAUGCAAAGCUCAGACUGAGCUUUCCUCCUAUCCGCAUGCAGUGGGCUGAGUUUAUUUUCUCUACCCUGUGCAGGCUUUGAUCCUGCGAGGUACUGGGGUCUCACGGCAUCAGGCAGUUCUGAGAGGACUGGGGACCUUACUGAACCAAAAGCUUCAGGUAAUUAGUUGUUUGGAUCCAGGUACAUGUAGACGGAUACAUCAGACUUUUGCAACAACCACAGUUCUCAGGAAAAAAAAAAAAGUAUUUCAAAGGUAAACAGAAGGCAUUUGUGUCCUGGAGUCUGAUUUAUUAUACACACUAUAUAUAGCUGUCAUUAAAUGAACAGGCUAACAUGCAACUAUUCAUCACAGGGUGGGGGAAUGAACAGGCUAUUCUCUGCUUGCCUGGAAUUGUUCAUAUUUCUGAAAACUAAAAGCAGUGUCUAGGAAAGGAAAGAAUGCCUGAAAUGCCACAAGAUAUUUGAUUUAUUCUUUUCAGGCUUUACCUCUUUAUGUUCUGUGUGCCUGAGAGUAUUAUUCAAGUCAAUCGAUCUUAGAAACUGUUUCUAGCAAUCCCCAUUUCCCCCAAAAUUCCCCACUAAAGGGCUUAAUCCGACUCCUUUAGUUAUUGUCAUUAAAAUAGACUCAACUAGGUCUGUAAUUUUUGUUUUACUUUGAAGGUGCAUUUUGAUCCAAAGAUAGCUGUUUUUCUCCUCAUUUGUAUUACCAACAUUUCAGUUAUGAGUCUGCGUACGGUAAACGGCAAUAUACUUUUGAAUUCCAACUAAAGCAAUUCUCAGUUUGUUGUUCAGUUACAUGAGAAAGAGAAAAUAAGUGAUGCUGCCUGACUGAAACAGCUCUCUGAGUGCUGAUUCAGGGAGAUGACUAGAAAUAUUCAGAUUUUUCUUAGCAACAAUUAAUUCCUGAAGAAAGCCAGGGAUAAUUUCAAUUAAUGAAUAAAUAAAAUUAUGAACUAUUUGUGG